AACAAAACGUAGUCCAUUUUACCCGUUUUAAUGUCCUUUAAUUCCGUUUCCCCGAUUUACUCGUCUGGCUGAAUCCGCCAGCAGCGCAAAUCCAUUAAAAAAAAAAGUAACGGAAAUUGGCGGGAAUUAAUGGCAUCUUCUUUUUGCGUGCGUGACGUGCGAGAAACUAAGUUUGUAACUUUAAUUUGCGUAUAAAUUGACUAAAAUUUGAAAUAUAAAAAUGUUUCGGGUAAAUUCACUGAAAAAAGGGGGCAUAUUUUAUUUAUGUUGGUUGGCGGAUUCCUGGCCUGCCCAAUUUGCUUCGAUAACCCAAAGCGAACUAUGGUCUCAAGACAUAAGAAAAAUUUGGUAAUUUGCUUGUCGGUUUAUUCGGAUCCUUUUAAAACUACCAAUGUAAAGUUUAAAUUAAUGUUUUACAGAGAUUCUUGAUUGAAAUAUUUGUCUUUACGUAUUUAAUUUAAAAGAGUUUGUACUUAAUUUCAGCGAUGAGUUAUUACAAGUUGUGAUCAAGGAGUCUGAGCGUCCCUCACACCGAUUUUCGCUCCGUCUCAGCUCUCAACUCAUGCGGGGUCUAGUCCGGCUGUAUCGGAGGAAAGUAGACAGCAUGCUAGAUGAGUUACGCAUGCUUGAUUCAAGCAUUAUCAAACAUGCACGCUUAAACAAAGUAACAUCCAACGCCCAAGAUGAAGCAGAAGAGAUGCAGAGACAUACGGUGCCGAUGUUGAAGGAGGAGGAACAGGAGGAAGG